rnacentral:rRNA from 1 species
UACAGAGGGUGCAAGCGUUGUUCGGAAUUAUUGGGCGUAAAGGGAGUGUAGGCGGUCUGGUAAGUCUUCUGUGAAAUCUACGGGCUUAGCCUGUAACGUGCAGAGGAAACUACCAGGCUUGAGUGUCGGAGAGGAUAGGGGAAUUCCCGGUGUAGAGGUGAAAUGCGUAGAUAUCGUAAGGAAGACCAGUGGCGAAGGCGGGUCUCUGGACAGUUCCUGACGCUGAGGCACGAAGGUCAGGGGAGCAAACGGG